AUAUGGUGUGGUACACUUGCCAUCUCUUAUUUGGUGAGCAAUGAGAGUAACCUGUGUUUCAAGAAAGAAAUUGAAAAAGAUCGAACCCCAAAAGGGAUCCGAGAUCCAUAUCCAUUUACUUUCUGGUACGCCCAAAAGGGAUCCGAGAUCCAUAUCCAUUUACUUUCUGGUACGCCCAAAAGGGAUCCGAGAUCCAUAUCCAUUUACUUUCUGGUACGCCCAAAAGGGCAGCUCGGUGGUUGGUUCCAUAAAGAGCAGCAGACUCAGGUGCUUCUCCAUCGCCGUCUGCCAGAAUGAGUUUCCGAGUCGUCCUCGCCGAUACGAUCUCCCGUCCUGCCGCUUCUCGAACCCCUCCCACCCCUAGACCCCAGAGGCGUCGACCGUCGUCGUCCCUGCCUCUACCCUCGAGUACCAGGAGAAAGCGGGAGCUCGGAGUGCUUCGCUCUUGCUGUCAUUCCUACCGCAGUAUCCCUCCUAUCGGAAAGAGUCCGGGCCGAGUCGCUCCCCUCUUCGUCUCGAAGGGAGAUGGAUCGGUUUCCGACUCGUCGUCGUUCCCGUCCUCUGACGACGGGGAUGCUGUGGAGUUCAUCACCUCCGAGCGGGUGAAGAUUGUGGCGAUGCUCGCCUCCGCACUCGCGCUCUGCAACGCCGACCGGGUCGUUAUGUCCGUUGCUGUCCUUCCCAUGUCAUCGGCGUACGGUUGGUCCCGCUCCUUCUCCGGCAUCGUUCAGUCAUCUUUCCUCUGGGGCUAUAUGGUAACGCCUAUAGUUGGGGGUGCAUUAGUCGAUCAGUAUGGCAGUAAAAUAGUUCUUGGAUGUGGUGUCGCUCUAUGGUCAGUAUCUACUUUUCUUACCCCAUGGGCAGCAGAAAGUUCGUUGUUGGCAUUACUUGCAAUGCGGGUUUUGCUUGGUAUGGCAGAAGGCGUGGCUCUUCCUAGCAUGAAUAAGAUGAUCUUAAGAUGGUUUCCCAAAACAGAAAGGUCGAGGGCUGUAGCACUUGCAAUGGGUGGAUUUCAUCUUGGCAGUGCAAUUGGACUUAUCAUUUCUCCUAUUAUCAUGUCUCAGACUGGAGUUUUUGGACCAUUUGUAAUGUUUGGACUAUUUGGUUUCCUUUGGGUUUUGGUGUGGCUCUCUGCAUCAUCAGAUUCUCCUGAUCAGCAUCCUCAGAUAUCAAAGUAUGAGUUAGAACACAUCAAAGAUAGAACCCCACCACUUCCCGUGAAGGAUACGUCACCCAUGAGACGUAGGGGAAUUCCCCCAUUCCGCCUCUUGCUCUCUAAGUUACCAACAUGGGCAAUUAUCAUUUCAAAUGCUAUGCAUAACUGGGGGUAUUUUGUUAUUCUUUCAUGGAUGCCCAUUUAUUUUAACACGAUUUAUCAAGUGGACCUUCGACGUGCAGCAUGGUUCAGUGCAUUACCAUGGGCUAUGAUGGCAACUUUAGGAUAUGUUGCUGGUGCUAUCUCGGACAUGCUGAUCCGCUGCGGCACAAGUGUUACAGUUACUCGUAAAAUCAUGCAGUCGAUUGGUUUCAUUGGCCCAGGGUUAUGUCUUCUUGGACUGAAUGCAACAAGAAGUCCUUUUCUUGCAUCUGCUUGGCUCACGGCAGCUGUGGGCCUAAACUCCUUCAGUCAUGCUGGUUUUCUAGUCAACCUACAGGAGAUCGCUCCCCAGUAUGCUGGUGUGCUUCACGGAAUGUCCAACACUGCCGGAACAUUGGCAGCUAUUAUAGGAACCAUUGGAGCAGGAUAUUUUGUGGAGUUGAUGGGUUCUUUCCGUGGUUUUCUAUCCUUCACAGCGGUCCUUUAUUUUGUCAGUGCCCUUUUUUGGAACAUCUUUUCUACUGGAGAGCAAGUAAUCUUCAAUGAAAGCGAUCAGUAGCCUUCUCCCGCAAAACUACAGAGCACAGUGAAAGUCAUACAUGGAAACUCAUGCCCAUCUUCUGCACAAAGGUGUACAGAUUUGUUAUUCUAAUUUUGUCAAUUCCUCAUGCUCACAUGAAAAUUUUCUUGUUAACCCCACUGGUGAACGGUGUCCAAUUUGGGGAUACAGUUGCAUGGUCUGGAGAUUCCAUUUCCUUCUGAUAUUCAAGUCCAGUAUUGGAGGAUGCUAUUUGGGGAUAUGCCGAUGUGUUUGUCCUGCAAAUCAACUGAAUCUCUAUGCAUAACUGAAUGAUAGAUUUGAAAAGAUGUUAUCGCUCUGGUUGUUUCUUUAGACACUUGUCUGAUCCUGCUUAUUCUUCUGACUGCUGCUAGCUGACACAGGCCCUAAGACGGUUUUCUUCUUCCUGCUGUUCAUGGGAAUGCGAUUGAUGUGCAUAAACGCAUUGGCUUUUCAUCAGAUUCAUUGCUAUCUGAAGUUGGCUGAUUUGGGCUAAACUUCCUUGUAGCUGGCAGUCUAAAAGGUGAUCUCAGUUGAUCAAUGGUGUAUGCCAUAGUUUUGACCUCGGCCAGACCAUUUGGAUGUAUUUCUGUCCAUGUCAAAAUCAAUUCUUGAGCAGUUUUGCCAAAUUUGGUGUACUUGUGCUAGCUUGGUGAAUGACUGUAUUCUGAUUUGAAGGUAAACAAUAGUGAAACCCGACAGAAUCUGGUGUGUGGUUUAAUCAGGUAUCAGCUUAGGUUCAUA